UAACGGAGGAUCCAAGCGUUAUCCGGAAUCAUUUGGGUUUAAAGGGUCCGGUAGGCGGAUUUAGUAAGUCAGUGGUUGAAAGCCCAUCGCUCAAACGGUGGGAACGGCCAUUGAUACUGCUAGACUUGAAUUAUUAGGAAGUAACUAGAAUAUGGUAGUGUAGCGGUGAAAUGCUUAGAAGAUUACAUGGAAUACCAAUUGCGAAAGGCAGGUUACUACUAAAUGGGAUUGACGCUGAUGGACGAAAGCGUGGGUAGCGAAGCAGG
rnacentral:rRNA from 1 species